rnacentral:snoRNA from 1 species
UUGCCCAAUGAUUAUAGCAAGACGCGUUAUUACGAGGACUAAUGCUGGAACUCUCUUCUCCUCCUCCUCCUCCUCCUCCUCUUCUUCCUUCUCUUUUGUCCCUUCGUCUUUCACCUUACCCUUCACUUUUUCUUAGGGUAUCCAGCGUCCUAUGAGCAAGACUGAGAUAUGAGGGCAA